UACAGAGGGUGCAAGCGUUGUUCGGAAUUAUUGGGCGUAAAGGGCGCGUAGGCGGUAGCGGUAAGUCCGCAGUGAAAUCUCUGGGCUCAACUCAGAGUCUGCUGUGGAAACUGCCGUGCUUGAGUGUGGGAGGAGGUCGAGUGGAAUUCCCGGUGUAGCGGUAGAAAUGCGUAGAUAGUCGGGAAGGAACACCUGGUGGCGAAAGCGGCUCACUGGACCACAACUGACGCUGAGUGCGCGAAAGCUGAGGGGAGCAAACAGGG
rnacentral:rRNA from 1 species